UACGAAGGGGGCUAGCGUUGUUCGGAUUUACUGGGCGUAAAGCGCACGUAGGCGGAUUGGUCAGUUAGGGGUGAAAUCCUGGAGCUCAACUCCAGAACUGCCUUUAAUACUGCCAGUCUCGAGUCCGGAAGAGGUAAGUGGAACUCCUAGUGUAGAGGUGGAAUUCGUAGAUAUUAGGAAGAACACCAGUGGCGAAGGCGGCUCACUGGUCCGGUACUGACGCUGAGGUGCGAAAGCGUGGGGAGCAAACAGG
rnacentral:rRNA from 1 species